AAUCCAUAGGUUAAUGAGGCGAACCGGGGGAACUGAAACAUCUAAGUACCCCGAGGAAAAGAAAUCAACCGAGAUUCCCCCAGUAGCGGCGAGCGAACGGGGAGGAGCCCAGAGCCUGAAUCAGCAUGUGUGUUAGUGGAAGCGUCUGGAAAGGCGCGCGAUACAGGGUGACAGCCCCGUACACAAAAGCGCAUGUGCUGUGAGCUCGAUGAGUAGGGCGGGACACGUGGUAUCCUGUCUGAAUAUGGGGGGACCAUCCUCCAAGGCUAAAUACUCCUGACUGACCGAUAGUGAACCAGUACCGUGAGGGAAAGGCGAAAAGAACCCCGGCGAGGGGAGUGAAAAAGAACCUGAAACCGUGUACGUACAAGCAGUGGGAGCCCCACCACCAAAGCAUUUGCUGUACCGCGUUGACGGAGCGAAGCGACGUCAAACCGAUAAAACAGCAGUGUAAAGUGAGCCGCAGGGCGCUUUGCGCGACAGCGCAAAGGCAGGCGGUUUCGCGUAGCGAAAGCGAAUGCUUUGGGGUGG
rnacentral:rRNA from 3 species